rnacentral:ncRNA from 1 species
AUGGGAAGCGCACGGCCGCAAAUCUGACAGUGCCACUCACUUGGGUGGCUUGGGAUUGCGGAAGUGC